UCCGAUUUGUCACCGGCAGUCUCCUAUGAGUCCCCGUCUUUCACGCUGGCAACAUAGGACAGGGGUUGCGCUCGUUGCGGACUUAACCCAACAUCUCACGACACAAGCUGACGACAGCCAUGCACCACCUGUGCACCGGCCCCGAAGGGCUGCCGUAUUUCUACGACAUUCCAGUGCAUGUCAAGCCUUGGUAAGGUUCUUCGCGUCGCGUCGAAUUAAACCACACGCUCCGCUGCUUGUGCGGGUCCCCGUCAAUUCCUUUGAGUUUUAGUCUUGCGACCGUACUCCCCAGGCGGCGUGCUAAAUGCGUUAACGACGGCACCGCAGGGGUCAAUACCCGCGACACCUAGCACUCAACGUUUACGGCGUGGACUAC
rnacentral:misc_RNA from 1 species